AACGAACGCUGGCGGCAGGCCUAACACAUGCAAGUCGAACGAGAAGCCCCCUUCGGGGGGUGGAAAGUGGCAGACGGGUGAGUAACGCGUGGGAACCUACCCAAGGGUACGGAAUAACCCAGGGAAACUUGGGCUAAUACCGUAUACGUCCCCCUUUGGAGACAUUGGGGGAGAAAGAUUUAUCGCCCCUGGAUGGGCCCGCGUCGGAUUAGCUUGUUGGUGGGGUAAUGGCUCACCAAGGCGACGAUCCGUAGCUGGUCUGAGAGGAUGAUCAGCCACACUGGGACUGAGACACGGCCCAGACUCCUACGGGAGGCAGCAGUGGGGGAAUAUUGGACAAUGGGCGCAAGCCUGAUCCAGCCAUGCCGCGUGAGUGAAGAAGGCCUUAGGGUUGUAAAGCUCUUUCGGCGAGGAAGAUAAUGACGGUACUCGCAGAAGAAGCCCCGGCUAAC
rnacentral:rRNA from 1 species